UACAGAGGGGGCAAGCGUUAUUCGGAAUUAUUGGGCGUAAAGGGCGCGUAGGCGGCCUUGCAAGUGACGGGUGAAAUCCCCCGGCUUAACCGGGGAACUGCCUGUCAGACUGCUCGGCUUGAGACCGGGAGAGGUGAGUGGAAUUCCCAGUGUAGCGGUGAAAUGCGUAGAUAUUGGGAGGAACACCAGUGGCGAAGGCGGCUCACUGGACCGGUACUGACGCUGAUGCGCGAAAGCUAGGGUAGCGAACGGG
rnacentral:rRNA from 1 species